rnacentral:rRNA from 1 species
UGGGGAAUAUUGGACAAUGGGCGAAAGCCUGAUCCAGCCAUGCCGCGUGUGUGAAGAAGGUCUUCGGAUUGUAAAGCACUUUAAGUUGGGAGGAGGGGCAUUAACCUAAUACGUUAGUGUUUUGACGUUACCGACAGAAUAAGCACCGGCUAACUCUGUGCCAGCAGCCGCGGUAAUACAGAGGGUGCAAGCGUUAAUCGGCAUUACUGGGCGUAAAGCGCGCGUAGGUGGUUUGUUAAGUUGGAUGUGAAAGCCCCGGGCUCAACCUGGGAACUGCAUCCAAAACUGGCAAGCUAGAGUACGGUAGAGGGUGGUGGAAUUUCCUGUGUAGCGGUGAAAUGCGUAGAUAUAGGAAGGAACACCAGUGGCGAAGGCGACCACCUGGACUGAUACUGACACUGAGGUGCGAAAGCGUGGGGAGCAAACA